AGGCCUAACACAUGCAAGUCGAGCGCCGUAGCAAUACGGAGCGGCAGACGGGAGAGUAACACGUGGGAACGUACCCUUUGGUUCGGAACAACCCAGGGAAACUUGGGCUAAUACCGGAUAAGCCCUUACGGGGAAAGAUUCAUCGCCGAAGGAUCGGCCCGCGUCUGAUUAGCUAGUUGGUGGGGUAAUGGCCCACCAAGGCGACGAUCAGUAGCUGGUCUGAGAGGAUGAUCAGCCUCACUGGGACUGAGACACGGCCCAG
rnacentral:rRNA from 1 species